rnacentral:tRNA from 1 species
AGUCUUGUGGCUCGCGAGCAUGACACUUGUAAUGCCAAGGGUUGUGGGUUCGAUUCCCACUGGCGCCA